UAUAUCUCAAGGUUUUGGCGUCAACGGGUUCGUUUUGGUGAGGAUUCUGAAUAAAGGAAUUUUCUUUUAAGUUCUUUAGGAGAUGCCGUCUCAUCUCUUUGUUACGCAGUAUAUAGGUAUCUUCAGCUUUUUCGGAGUUCAAAAAUGGCUUUGCUAUUUAUAGUGUUGGAUUCAAAGGAAAUCAAAGGUGUUUCGUGUCUUACUCAUUGCUCGUUGCAGAGGAUUUGAAGCAGCGGUAGCGCUGUCCAGGUCCUGUCAAUGGACGCAUACUCAUCUGGCGAAGAACUAGUAAUUAAGACUAGGAAGGCUUAUACUAUUACAAAACAACGUGAACGGUGGACUGAGGACCAUAACAGGUUCCUAGAGGCCUUGAAGCUCUAUGGACAAGCUUGGCAAGGCAUUAAAGGUUUUCACUUAUUUUUUUAUCUUAUUGUUUCU